GUUCUGCCUGGUUAAGGAUUUGCUUUGGAUACUUUUUGAGUUGCACCCCUCUGUCCUGUUGGUUUCAACGAUUUUAACGAUUUUCAGUUUUGAGUGCAGAAGAGUUCUGUCGAAUUAGAGAAGAGGUCGGAGUUCAUACCUAGCCAGCUGCUGCCGCCGAGAGUCAAGAAGUACCUGGCUAUGGACCCUGACACCAACGAUGUCAUUGGAUACAUAGUUCCUGUCUUCAGGACCAGCCAUGAGUUUGCCCGGGGCCUAGUGGAGGUCCAGGAAGAAGUGAAGGAGGAGGGGGUGGGGCAUGUUGCCAUGAGGAACCUGUUCUCCCUGGAGACCAGCUCCCUGGAGACCAGCUCCAUGGAGACGAUUACCGUGGAGAAGAAGAGCAGGAAGAGGCACAUUAGAGAGUCAGCUGAUCGCCUGGAGCUCAGCAAGAAGGU
rnacentral:lncRNA from 1 species